rnacentral:tRNA from 1 species
GGGGUUGUGGCUCCAUGGUAGAGCUUCUGCUUAGCAUCCACAAGGUCCGAGGUUCAAUCCCUGGUAUCUCCU